rnacentral:misc_RNA from 1 species
UCCUCGUUUAAGCGAGGCAGUCUGUCCAGAGUGCUCCAAACUCUCGUUCGGAUCGCAACAGGACAUAAGGGUUGCGCUCGUUGCGGGACUUAACCCAACAUCUCACGACACGAGCUGACGACAGCCAUGCAGCACCUGUGCACGCUGGUAUUGCUACCUCGUCGGGCUUUCACCCUUCUACUACGUGCAUGUCAAGGCCAGGUAAGGUUCUUCGCGUUGCAUCGAAUUAAGCCACAUACUCCACCGCUUGUGCAGGCCCCCGUCAAUUUCUUUGAGUUUUAAUCUUGCGACCGUACUUCCCAGGCGGCGUAUUUAUCGCGUUGGCUUCGCCACAAAAGGGGUCGAUUCCUUUUACAGCAAAUACGCACCGUUUACAGCUAGGACUAC